rnacentral:ncRNA from 1 species
UGUGUCAGGACCUACGGGCCAAGGGACAGUCUCAGGUAGACAUUUUCUAUGGGGCAUAGGCCUCCCAAAAGGUAAUGGAGGCGUGCAAAGGUUUCCUUGGGCCGGACAGAAGGGAGCCUUACUGCAAGACCCACCCAUUGAGUAGGGACGAAAGUUGGCCUUAGUGAUCCGACAAUGUCGAGUGGAAGGGCCAUCGCUCAAUGGAUAAAAGUUACUCUAGGGAUAAUAGGUUGAUCUUCCCUAAGAGUUCACAUCGACGAGAAGGUUUGGCACCUUGAUGUCGGCUCUUCACCACCUGGGGUGGUAGUACGUUCCAAGGGUUGGGAUAUUCGCCCAUUAAAGCGAUACGUGAGCUGGGUUCAGAACGUCGUGAGAUAGUUCGAUCCAUAUCUGGUGCAGGCAUUAGAGCAUUGAGAGGACCUUUCCCUAGUACGAGAGGACUGGGAAGGAUGCACCUCUGGUGUACCAGUUAUCGUGCCCACGGUAGAUGCUGGGUAGCCAAGUGCAGAGCAGAUAACUACUGAAAGCAUAUAAGUAGGAAUCCCACCCCAAUAUGAGUGCUCUCCUAUUAUUACUUCCCUAAGAUCCCUAGUCGCGAACAUGGCUGGGACAACGACGGGUUCUCUGCCCUUGCAGGGGAUGGAGCGACAAAAGUAUUGAGAAUCCAAGAUAAGGUCACAGUGAGACGAGCCGUUUAUCAUUAUGAUAGGUGUCAAGUGGAAGUGCAGUGAUGUAUGCAGCUGAGGCAUCCUAAUAGACCGAGAGAUUUGGACCU